rnacentral:rRNA from 1 species
UGCAGUCGUACAGGUAACCCAAUUUGCUGCUUCGCUGAGAGUGGCGGUGGUUUAAGAUGUCGGGGAACUGCCUGAGGAGGGGGAUAACUUCUGAAAACGGUAGCUAAUACAGCAUAACGUCGCAAGACCAAAGAGGGGGACCUUCGGGCCUCUUGCCAUCGGAUGUGCC